rnacentral:rRNA from 1 species
AUUGAACGCUGGCGGCAUGCCUUACACAUGCAAGUCGAACGGUAACGGGCCUUCGGGUGCCGACGAGUGGCGAACGGGUGAGUAAUGCAUCGGAACGUACCUUUCAGUGGGGGAUAACGUAGCGAAAGUUACGCUAAUACCGCAUAUUCUGUGAGCAGGAAAGCAGGGGAUCGCAAGACCUUGCGCUGAUUGAGCGGCCGAUGUCAGAUUAGCUAGUUGGUGAGGUAAAGGCUCACCAAGGCGACGAUCUGUAGCGGGUCUGAGAGGAUGAUCCGCCACACUGGAACUGAGACACGGUCCAGACUCCUACGGAGGCAGCAGUGGGGAAUUUUGGACAAUGGGGGCAACCCUGAUCCAGCCAUGCCGCGUGAGUGAAGAAGGCCUCGGUUGUAAGACGUCUUUCGGUCCGGGGAACGGAAAAGUACCGGUAUUAGGGCGUAAUACCCUAGU